GUGAAUCAUCAAAUUUUUGAACGCAAAUUGCACUCUCUUCGGAGAGUAUGCCUGUUUGAGGGUCAGUAUUAAUAAAAAUCGGUGUGUUGCUUCUUUGUGACGCUCCGGAGUUUGGGUCAUCUUAUAUCCUUUAGGUUUUAGGGGGCUUAAAUUUGACUUUUUUUGCGCAUUUUAGAGUUACAUAAAUUCUUUUUUUUAUUCUUCGUUCUUAUUCCUCAAAAUCCUAUUAAAGCCAACCUUAUGU
rnacentral:misc_RNA from 1 species